rnacentral:rRNA from 1 species
UACGUAGGGUGCGAGCGUUAAUCGGAAUUACUGGGCGUAAAGCGUGCGCAGGCGGUUUUGUAAGCCGGAUGUGAAAUCCCCGGGCUUAACCUGGGAAUGGCAUUCGGGACUGCAAGGCUGGAGUGCGGCAGAGGAGACUGGAAUUCCUGGUGUAGCAGUGAAAUGCGUAGAUAUCAGGAGGAACACCGAUGGCGAAGGCAGGUCUCUGGGCUGACACUGACGCUCAUGCACGAAAGCGUGG